rnacentral:antisense_RNA from 1 species
CUCUUCGCCCCCGGCUCGGUCCUGCCCCGCGUCCCUGCAGUUCACAAAGGGCGUCGGCCAGCUCCUGGGUGGUGACCUCGAUGAACUUGGGAUCUUGAGCAAACUGCCCCAGUCCUUCUGAAAUCAAGACCUGAAGGAGCGGGGCGGGAGCCAUGAAGAACCAAAGGAACAUUAUUCCUGGAGCCCAGCUCUUCCCUUGAGGGCUAGAGCGAGGGGUAUCUGAGAAACCAUUCUCCCUGGUGAAACUGCUGAGACAGGCCCACUGCCCACUGCCUGCCGCUGCCUUUCCAGGGGGGUCGAGAGUGUGCCAUGGCACCACCCACCCUGAAGAUGUCAUCUUCAGAAGCAGCAGACACAGCCUCCUUCAUGGCCUUGUCCAGCUCCUCCUCAGCGGUGAGAUCUCCAGAGAUGGCCCGUCGGAUCUCAGGCCCGAUGUCAUGCAGCGUGCGCAAGCCAGCCUGGAAUCCAAGGGGAGGAUGGUGAGGACCGCGCUUCCUUUCCUCCAAGCUUCCUAGCCAGCCACAGCUUCGGGCCAAGGCCUGUCCCUCCAGGGCCCUGGCAUCUUCCACCCAGCCAGUCGACCCUCCGGAAGGUUUGUCUGUGUGUGAACUGGGGGCUGGGCUGCCCUGUGAUGGAACAAUCCACUCGCCCAUCCAGGAGGGUUGAAGGGUCAUUAGGAGGGGGCACCAGGGGUCAGGGGCUGUCACGGGAGCCUCAGUGAAGUGUUUGAGAGAUCUGGGGGCUACAACAGCAGGCAGGACCAUGGAGGGCAGUCGGUGGGUGGCAGGUAGGGAAGGGCACAUCACCCCCUUCUCACAGCCAUCUUUGGAAAGGUCUGGAGCUCUCUGAAAGGUUCCCUCUGCAGGGACCUGGCCUCCAGCCUGCUGGGGAGGGACCGAGACCCUGACUGGAGGUCAGAGGCAAUGACCAGGACCUUCCUGGAGUGUGGGCCCGCCCCCAGGCCCUCACCUGCAGAGACAGCGCGUUCCUCUGGGAGGGCUUGCCCACAAGGCCCUGCUCUUUGCGCUUCUUGAACUUCCGGAAGUACUCCUGGAUCAGGAACGUGGCGUAGAACUUGCCAACAGUGACCUCAUCAUCUGAGAUGUAUGGAGAGGGGAGAAGGGGGUAAGGGGAGCAGGGGAAUUCAGUUGAACUUCAUUCAUUUUUUUUUUUCAGCAUCCAAAACUUUUAAAAACUUUUUAGGUUUAAUUUUUUUGGAGAGGUAGUACAUUCACAUGGCUUAAAAAGAGAGAAAAAAAAAAAACAUAAAAAGGCUUAUGGUGAAAAGUCUCUCCCACCACAGCCCUUAUCUGCCUAGUCACCACCUCCUGUAGAUAAUCUAGUUUCUUAUUUUCUCAGAGAUUCUUAGUGCAAAUUAGUUACGUAAAUCAUCAAACAUAUUCUUAUCUCCUGUUUUUUUUUAUGCGAAAGGUAGCCUAUCAUCAAAAUUAUUUCCCGCUUUUUUUUUUUAACUUUACUGAUAUUUGCUAACUCUUAUUUGAUUCCAGAGCUUCAAAUGUCCCUCAUCAAUUGGCCACUCUUCCAAGUACAAGUGCAAAACGGUUCAGCUUAGCUCGGAGGGAGGGGCUGGUGGAAGGAGGGCUUUCUUCCCAUGGAAGUUUGGAUUUUUCUUUCAAACCAGAUUGAAUUUUUGUGCCAGGUGGCUUCGCUGCCUCCCUGCUGAGCUAGAUACCCAAGAUUAUAUGUGACAUCAAUCAGUCCCUGUCCUGGGAGUGAACCUGAUGGUGGAGAAGCCAUAAGUUUGUACAGGAAACAUUUCAUGCCUGGUAAGGAGCCCCUUGGAUCUACCUCCUGGUUCUUUGUCAAGAGAUGCCACGAGCCCAAGAGACAGCUGGGGAUUAGAUCUAGGGGCUGGUGAGGGUUCUCCUCCUCCUACCUGUCCCUCCAAAACAGCAAAAUCCAUAGCAGUGAUGACCCCUCCCUUCUCUGGCAAGCACCCCCUUUCCACGUGGGAGAGAAAAACCCCGGGUCCCCUGUCCAGCAUAGUGAGGAAGGAAGAACUGCAUGGUGGGACAAGCCUGGAGUCCUAGGUUCCCUGGGGCCUGGGUUUGAAUCCUAGUGAGGAAGGAAGAACUGCAUGGUGGGACAAGCCUGGAGUCCUAGGUUCCCUGGGGCCUGGGUUUGAAUCCUGAAUCUGCUCUGGACUCUCCAGGUAACCUUGGGCCAGCAACUUAGCUUCUAAGAACUUUAGUUCCCUGAGCAAACUUCACAGAAAUGUUGUCAGGAUUCAAUAAAAUGAUAUAUGUAAAACAUC